GACGCAGCAACGCCGCGUGUGUGAUGAAGGUCUUCGGAUUGUAAAGCACUUCGACCGGGACGAAAACCCCCAGCCCAACACGCUGGGGCUUGACGGUACCGGGAGAAGAAGCACCGGCUAACUCUGUGCCAGCAGCCGCGGUAAUACAGAGGGUGCAAGCGUUGUUCGGAAUUAUUGGGCGUAAAGCGCGUGUAGGCGGCUUUGCAAGUCGGGUGUGAAAGCCCUCAGCUCAACUGAGGAAGUGCGCCCGAAACUGCAGAGCUUGAGUGUCGGAGAGGGUGGCGGAAUUCCCCAAGUAGAGGUGAAAUUCGUAGAUAUGGGGAGGAACACCGGUGGCGAAGGCGGCCACCUGGACGGUAACUGACGCUGAGACGCGAAAGCGUGGGGAGCAAACAGGAUUAGAUACCCUGGUAGUCCACGCCGUAAACGAUGAGAACUAGGUGUCGUGGGUGUUGACCCCCGCGGUGCCGAAGCUAACGCAUUAAGUUCUCCGCCUGGGAAGUACGGUCGCAAGACUA
rnacentral:rRNA from 1 species